GAUGAACGCUGGCGGCGUGCCUAAUACAUGCAAGUCGAGCGAACAGACGAGGAGCUUGCUCCUCUGACGUUAGCGGCGGACGGGUGAGUAACACGUGUAUAACCUACCUAUAAGACUGGGAUAACUUCGGGAAACCGGAGCUAAUACCGGAUAAUAUAUUGAACCGCAUGGUUCAAUAGUGAAAGACGGUUUUGCUGUCACUUAUAGAUGGAUCCGCGCCGCAUUAGCUGGUUGGUAAGGUAACGGCUUACCAAGGCAACGAUGCGUAGCCGACCUGAGAGAGUGAUCGGCCACACUGGAACUGAGCCACGGUCCAGACUCCUACGGGAGGCAGCAGUAGCGAAUGUUCCGCAAUGGGCGAAAGCCUUACGGAGCGACGCCGCGUGAGUGAUGAAGGUCUUCGGAUCGUAAAACCCUGUUAUUAGGGAAGAACAACUGUGUAAGUAACUAUGCACGUCUUGACGGUACCUAAUCAGAAAGCCACGGCUAACUACGUG
rnacentral:rRNA from 1 species